GCAACCAUGACUUUGAUCAGCGUCUUCAUCUGCACACUGGCCCUCUGGACUCAAGGAUCCAGAGGUCAGGUGACUGUGACUCAGACUCCUUCAGUGCAAACUGUUGUUCCAGGAAACACAGUCACCAUCAACUGUAAAACCAGUAGCAGUGUGGCUAGUGGUAACUACCUCGCCUGGUACCUGCAGAAACCUGGAGAAGCUCCUAAACUCCUGAUAAACUUGGUUACAAGAUUACAGUCAGGAAUUCCAGAUCGUUUCAGAGGCAGUGGAUCGAAUACCGACUUCACUCUGACCAUCAGUGGAGUCCAGACUGAAGAUGCAGGAGAUUACUACUGUCUGAGUUUACAUCAUAUCAGUGGUAACUGGGUGUUCACACAGUGUUAG